rfam:Monodelphis domestica chromosome 8, whole genome shotgun sequence.
UGACAGCUAAAGAGCAGUCUUAGAGCAUGAAGGCAGCCCAGUGCCAUUUUCUUGGGGCCACCAACCGAGAGUUAAGCUACCUAACAUUUCGAAAACCCAGCCCAUUUCACUCACAGCAGGCAUGGCAGG